UACGGAGGGUGCAAGCGUUAUCCGGAUUCACUGGGUUUAAAGGGUGCGUAGGUGGCUUUGUAAGUCAGUGGUGAAAUGCCGCAGCUCAACUGCGGAACUGCCAUUGAUACUGCUUAGCUUGAAUCACGUCGAGGUGGAUGGAAAUAUUACAUGUAGCGGUGAAAAUGCUUAGAUAUGUAAUAGAACACCGAUUGCGAAGGCAGUUCACUAGGCGUGUAUUGACACUGAGGCACGAAAGCGUGGGGAUCAAACCAGG
rnacentral:rRNA from 1 species